rnacentral:tRNA from 1 species
AGCUCUUUCGUCCAACGGGAGGACAGCGUCCUGAUAAGCCGUUAAUGCGGGUUCAAUUCCCGCAGGAGCAACCA